CCUACGGGAGGCAGCAGUGGGGAAUCUUGCACAAUGGGCGAAAGCCUGAUGCAGCGACGCCGCGUGCGGGAUGAAGGCCUUCGGGUUGUAAACCGCUUUCAGCAGGGACGAGGCCGCAAGGUGACGGUACCUGCAGAAGAAGCCCCGGCUAACUACGUGCCAGCAGCCGCGGUAAUACGUAGGGGGCAAGCGUUAUCCGGAUUCAUUGGGCGUAAAGCGCGCGUAGGCGGUUUGUUAGGUCAGGAGUUAAAUCUGGGGGCUCAACCCCUAUCCGCUCCUGAUACCGGCAGGCUUGAGUCUGGUAGGGGAAGGCGGAAUUCCAAGUGUAGCGGUGAAAUGCGCAGAUAUUUGGAAGAACACCGGUGGCGAAGGCGGCCUUCUGGGCCACGACUGACGCUGAGGCGCGAAAGCUAGGGGAGCGAACAGGAUUAGAUACCCUGGUAGUC
rnacentral:rRNA from 1 species